AGUUCACACCUGCUUACUUAAUGUGUCUUCUGUCUACAGAAGGUCCCUCCUGUGCAGUAGUUGGCGCUGUGUAUCACAGAACUGUAAUCCACCCAACUGAAGGAGGAGAAGAAGAGAGUCAAAUACUUUGGAAAUAUGGCGGCAAGGAGAAAAACAGCAACCUACCUCACCUUGUUGAUGGAUUGAGGGUGAGAUGAGAAUGAAAAGACAAGAGGAGAUAUAUGACUUCUUUAUAAAGAGAAGCAAGUCAAGCACAGAUCAGGCAUUGUCAUCUUGGACCUGACCAACUUCAGCAACCCCAUAUUGUUUGAUUAGUGAAAUCCAGGUGGCGACUUUUGUUUUGGUGGUAGGCAGACACGGCAUCCGACAGGUUUAGCUGCAAUGCUAGCUAGCUGUUUUUCUGAGCUGGAUUACUCACUGAGCUGAUAAAAGACUGAAGUUCCUGUGUGAGCUCAGUCUUCACACUGCCCAGGGGAUACCUCGAAUACCUUUAUAGCUCCAUUUAUAACCUUGGGGUCCAGUAAAGUGCUACCACUGAUGCAGUUUACAUUAAACAUUAUUCCAUUUUUUUUAUUUUGACUUUUUCAUUUAUUCUCAUUUAUUUCAUUUAUUACACUUUUAUUCUGUAACUGCACUUUUAUAUUAUGUUUUAUUCAUGCUUUAUUUUUAUUUUAUUUUUAUUUCCAAUUCCUUGUUGUUCUUUUACAUGCUUUUAAUUUUAC
rnacentral:lncRNA from 1 species